rnacentral:rRNA from 1 species
GACGAACGCUGGCGGCGUGCCUAAUACAUGCAAGUAGAACGCUGAAGGAGGAGCUUGCUCUUCUGGAUGAGUUGCGAACGGGUGAGUAACGCGUAGGUAACCUGCCUGGUAGCGGGGGAUAACUAUUGGAAACGAUAGCUAAUACCGCAUAAGAGUAGAUGUUGCAUGACAUUUACUUAAAAGGUGCAAUUGCAUCACUACCAGAUGGACCUGCGUUGUAUUAGCUAGUUGGUGGGGUAACGGCUUACCAAGGCGACGAUACAUAGCCGACCUGAGAGGGUGAUCGGCCACACUGGGACUGAGACACGGCCCAGACUCCUACGGGAGGCAGCAGUAGGGAAUCUUCGGCAAUGGACGGAAGUCUGACCGAGCAACGCCGCGUGAGUGAAGAAGGUUCUCGGAUCGUAAAGCUCUGUUGUAAGAGAAGAACGAGUGUGAGAGUGGAAAGUUCACACUGUGACGGUAUCUUACCAGAAAGGGACGGCUAACUACGUG